UUGGGUGCUUGACUGCCGUUGUGAAGUCAGAACGCUUGGAUGAACCCUACUCCUCGGCCAGAGCGUCCAGUGUGGGCUCUGAAUGCUCAGAGAGCAAAACACUUUGAAUUUAUGAACGGACAAUCUGACAACGCUCUGAAUUUACAAAUGCCCAGAGCGUACUCUGGCACUCCAGAUUGAAUUUACAAACACAUCCGAAAUGGUAUGAUGUCUAGCUAGUAAUUUGUUAUGCUAACAAGCUAGCAAGAGGUUGCAUAUCAACAGCAUCAGCUUCCGGUAGACAGUCUAAGUGCUAGUAAGCUCAACUAAAAGUUUACAGUUCUUUUACAGUAUACUCAAAUGUAACCUUUAUAUAAACUAGGCAAGUCAGUUAAGAACAAAUUCUUAUUUUCAAUGACGGCCUACUCCAGUCAAACCCGGACGACGCUGGAGAACAGGACCUGUUUGAGAACAGGACCCCCUUUUUCCUUAAAUUAUGGAAUGACUUAGGAUCUGCCCUGGCUGUAUUUCUGCCUUUUCGUUGUGACUCAGCAUUCUGGAGUCUCAAGCAGAGAUGGAAGAGGAAGCGAGACAGCCCACUCCUUCAUUUUUUCAACCAAAGAAAGUCAAUUAACUAAGCAGACCACUAUCGUAUUGUUGUCGGCUUAAGGAGCCACCCCCUUAAGCAGACAGUGGUCAACGGCCUGAGUGAACUAUCUUCAUUUAUCCACCAUCGUUGGUCUCGAGGUAGUUCUGUUCUGUUAUCACAGUGACAAUGGUGGAAGGAGGCGCAGUUUUGUGACUGCAGAAACAGACAUGAGGGGUGAUGAAAGGGCGAAGACCAGCUGAUACCAGAUUAGAAGAAAAGGAAAAAGGGAAGAAGGAGAGAACAGCAGGAACAUAUACUAUACUAUGCAACUUACAUAUACUGUGUAACUUACUAAAGCAUUUUAAAACAAAUAGCUGUGAAUGGUUGUUUCUGGUGAAUUUAGGGGAAAAUUCAACAACUUUCCUGAAAAUGUUGUCAAUUUAGUCAAUCAGAACUCAAAUACCAGCAUUUUUCUGUAUUACUUUAAACUGUUGGUCUAACUAUAACAGUUCAGAAAGUCACCACCAAUGUCAAAAUCCCAUUAUUCUAUUUAUGAACCCUUCACCAUGUUUGGGUAGUACAUGGUCUUUAAAUUACUAAUUUCUUUAUAUAUAUUAGUAUUUUCUCUUUCUUUAUUGAGAUAUCAAGUUAUGAAUGAGAGGGGGGUGACAGAAAGGUAGAGGAAUACAGAUAUGAAGGCGUAGGCAGGGUUUGAAUCCAUGCUGCAAAGGGCCAUGUGCAGCAUUACCACUAGAUCAGACUAUGGCACCAAAUUAAUGUCUAAUACUCAAUUAACUUAAAAGGAGUCGAUGCACUCAAAGUCAAGAAACUGCUGACAUGAUUACACAAUUUAAUCGCAGUAUCAAUUCAUUAAAAAGUAUACAUACAUACAUACAUACAUACAUACAUACAUACAUACAUACAUACAUACAUACAUUGGUUGUAAAGGAAAUCAUGUUCAGUCCUAAUAAGCUGAAGAUUCUAUCAUGAAUAAAAUUAAACAAGUAUUGUGUUAGUCUACCUGAAAACAGAGAGGCUGAUUACUUUGUUGUAGUGAAAGUGAACUGGGAUAGAAAUACAUUAUCAAUCCAAUUAAAGUGAGUUUCGCAAUGCCAAGUUUGGACCAACUACCUUAUGUGUAAAGGCUUGGAUAGGCCUAUGGCUCAGAAUAUGGAAUAGAAUGUUAAUGGUGGGCUACUCUCUCAAGUAUUAAUUCAAUUAUGCAGUAACCUAUAGGUUGUGGGCGGAAGCCUAAAAACGUGAAGUUGAUCGAUCCCCAUCGAGGGAGGAGCAGAUUUUUUGUAUAUGACAGUAAAACAUUAUUUUAAUAACUAUAAGAUUUGUUGGCACUUUCAAUUUUUGCACAUUUUCUCAUAAAAAGUAUAGUUUAACACUGCUUCUAUCUAGGAUGUAAACACAGCCUCAAGUGAGGUCUGAAAACUCAAACUGCUUGCUGUAUGUGUUUGAUGAACUCCCAAAGACUGAAAUAAGAUAAACAUCUGUUUUUGAUUGCACUUUGAAAAAUGCAGCAUGCAAUACAAAUUGUUCCAUUAAGAGGUAACUCUGUUCACCAUUUAGCCAUUUUUUUUUAAAGCUAGCCAAUGUUAAUUUGACUAGCCUAGCCUGCUACUGGAAAUGUAAAAUUGCCUGCUCAUCAUGCUAGUGUUUUAUUAGCUAUCUGUCAGUGACAUUUUUUGUUGUUGUCAUGUUUUGGUCUUAUUAUAUGUCUCUUUUCAAUUAACUAGCUGCAGGCUUAAAGAAACAUUCAAUCAUAUACUUUUAUUAGAAAGCCAAAUAAAAGCAUAUAGAUAGAAAGA